CCCACUGAUUUAAUAAUUGAAGGGCUGCAGUAUAUUGACUGUACAAAGGUAGCAUAAUCAUUAGUCAUUUAAUUGAUGACUUGUAUGAAGGAUUGGAUGAAAUAUAAACUGUCUCUUGAUUAAAAAUAGAAUUUAAUUUUUUAAUUAAAAAGUUAAAAUGAUUUAAAAAGACGAGAAGACCCUAUAGAGUUUUAUAAAUAAAUUAAUUAAGAUUAUUUAUUAAAUUAAAAUUAAAAUUUGAGAUAUUUAUUAUAUUGGGGUGAUAGAAAAAUAUGAUUAACUUUUUUUAUAUAAAUAACAUAUAUAAGUGAAUAAAUGAUCCAAUAUUAUUGAUUAUAAGAAAAAAUUACCUUAGGGAUAACAGCGUAAUUUUUUUUUUUAGUUCAUAUAAGAAAAAGAGUUUGCGACCUCGAUGUUGGAUUAAGAUAAAAUUUAAAUGCAGAAG
rnacentral:rRNA from 1 species